rnacentral:rRNA from 1 species
GAUGAAUGCUGGAGGCGUGCCUAACACGUCCGAGUCGAACGGAGAUUAUCGACGGAAGUUUUCGGAUGGAAGACGGUAAUCUUAGUGGCGGACGGAUGAGUAACGCGUGGGUAACCUGCCUAGUUCAGGGGGAAAGCGUCGGGAAACUGACGGUAAGUCCGCAUAGGACCACAUAUUCGCAUGGAUAAGUGGUGAAAAGGGAAACCUGGUAUGGGAUGGACCCGCGUCCGAUUACCCAGUUGGCAGGGUAAAGGCCUACCAAAGCUUCGAUCGGUACCCGGACUAAGAGGUCGGACGCCCACAUUGGGAGUGAGACACGGCCCAGACUCUUACGGGAGGCAGCAGUGUGGGAUAUUGCACAAUGGAGGAAACUAUGAUGCAGGGACGCCGCUUGAGUGAAGAAGUGCUCCGGCAUGUAAAGCUCUUUCAGCAGGGAAGAUGAUGACGGUACCUGAAUAAGAAGCCCCGGCUAAUUACGUGCCAGCAGCCGCGGUAAUACGUAGGGGGCAAGCGUUAUCCGGAUUUACUGGGUGUAAAGGGAGCGCAGGCGGUCUGGCAAGUUGAGAGUGGAAGCAGGGGGCUCAACCCCCUGACUGCUCCCAAAACUGUUGGACUGGAGUAUGGGAGAGGCAGGCGGAAUUCCUAGUGUAGCGGUGAAAUGCUCAGAUAUUAGGAAGAACACCGGUGGCGAAGGCGGCCUGCUGGACCAAAACUGACGCUGAGGCUCGAGAGCGUGGGGAGCGAACAGG